AAUGAUCAGUUGUGAUCGUGGAGAUAUGAAAGAUGGUCUCUUGGCGCUGUGUUUGCUCGCAUUGAAGAUCCUCGAUAUUCGAUUUGUCUUCGUUAAGAGCGCAGCGUAGACGACGGUGAAACAGAAACCAGCGGCAAAUCUGUGAAACGAUAGUUUCGUCUCUAGUAGUUCCUGUGACGUACAAGUUUUCCUUUUUGGUACAUACACGAUCAAUUUACCGUAAUCUUAUUUCAUGAUUUACUGGAAUACAUAACACACAGGGAGUUACGAAAACAGCAUUGACUUUCAAGGCUGCUACUGUAGGACAUGUUUUUCAAACAUACGAAACGCGAAUCGCUCAGUUACCGACCUAUUACGGUACAACGGCAACAACAAAGCUUCGUCGCAGUUUCGAUCAAAAACAUCAACGUUCUUCAGUUCUAAAAAGUGAUGGAGGUUCCUUUAUUGCGUCACGGAACGAGAGUUUUGUCGCUGGAAGUACAAGUAGAGAGUAAUUCUGGUUUUAACGUCUUACAUUCCGCGCAACGACCCUGCAAUUACCAAGAGAGCAAUUUUUCCGAGUCCUAAAUGAAUCUCUGCUACCUUUGCGGUUCGCGAACGUUAGACGUAUUAAGAAUUCUGACGAUGGAGAAAACUCUUCAUUAUUGCUGCAAUUAUGUUUCUUUCUGUUCAUAAGUAAAUGGGGAAAUCCAUUUGGAAAAAGAAUAGAAAUAUUAAAUGGAAAAAUUAUAUGCAACUUUCUUCAUAUUCACUGAAUGAAACACCAUGUGAUUACUAUUUGUUCAAAUCGUUACAAAAUUUUAUGAAUCGAAAAGAAUUCAAAGGCUACAAAGAAGAGAAUAUUGAUUUUCCAGAUUAUUUUACUGGUUAUUAACUCCGUAAAAUUUAUUUGUGAGAUAGUAAUGCAUACUAAUAUGUGUAGAUUAUAUUACUGAUUAUGAUAUCAAUAUAAUCAAUUCUGUACUUGAUAUAAUA